UUUUUUUUUUUUUCUUUUUCCUUUCUUUUCUUCUUUCUCUCUUUUCUCUUCUCCAUCGCGAUUCUCCAUUACUGUUGACCAUUAGACAUUCCUUCCUUGUCAUCGAAUGGCACUUCAUCACCAUUGGUCUAGUCAUCGGCCAUAGCAUUACUCGCACUCACCGUUUAGCUCCAUUCGGUGUGUAGUGAUUGCUUUUCGUUGUUGCCCUCAUCAGCGCUACUGCAUUCCAUAAAUUUGAUCAUCAAUUGUUUGAUAACCUACGCAUCAUAUUCCCCUAUACUAGUUCGAUCGGCACAUUUUUUUGCUAAUUCCUUUUAUUGCAAUUAAUUCCAGGUGUCUUUACAGGUGCCUUUGUAAGUACCUUUAUAAGUACCUAGAACCUAAUACCUCGUACUUCUGUAGGUGCUUAGCCUUCAUCUGCCUUGUUAAGGUUCUUGUAAGUACUUGCAAUCUUCUAAAACUGCAGUACACUUAAAGAGCUAAUUCUUUUCACAAGUGUCGAUGUCAAAUACUGGGGAGUUGUCUAUCCGAUCUUGUUCUAGAGCUACUUAUUGACUCCAAACUUCCUCCAAUAAUUUUUCUGCAUGUUGUGGUUGUUAUGUCCUGAUGUAAUAAGUUUAACAUAUGUGUAAAUACUUGGAUAUUUAUUGA
rnacentral:misc_RNA from 1 species